rnacentral:rRNA from 1 species
UACGGGGGGGGCAAGCGUUGUUCGGAAUUACUGGGCGUAAAGGGCUCGUAGGCGGCCAACUAAGUCAGACGUGAAAUCCCUCGGCUUAACCGGGGAACUGCGUCUGAUACUGGAUGGCUUGAGUUUGGGAGAGGGAUGCGGAAUUCCUGGUGUAGCGGUGAAAUGCGCAGAUAUCAGGAAGAACACCCGUGGCGAAAGCGGCUCUCUGGGACGGUACUGACGCUGAGACGCGAAAGCGUGGGGAGCGAACAGG